GACUCAUUAAUUUCAUAUUAACUUCAGAGAUAAUAUUGUGGUAUACUAAAACCACAUAUUCAAAUCUUUUACAAUGCCAAGUUUAAUACAAAACUUCAACCAUAAUAUGAUACUAAAGGAUUUACAAUUACAAAAGUCUUCACAUUAACUCCCUAAGAUCCCUCGUUCAUUCCCCUACCACCAACUCCUGUAAGGAAAACAAAGCUGAGGGGAUGAGCUUACGCCCAGUGAGGUUUCCAUGCAAGCAACGAUCAAUAAACACUUAAACCAGAUAAGCCAGUAACAAAAUUAAGCAACUAAGGAACACUUCACUGAAUAAAGUAGAGAACACUUCAUUGAACAAUCACUUUGAAAAGGAUACGGUGCUGGCAUUAGAGCCACUUCCUUCUGGGAGUUAGUUCAAUAUCAUUGCACACUCAUUUCAAUGUCAUUGUUCAUUUAUUUCAGUGUCAUGAGACACUCAUUUCAAUAUCAUUGCAUACUCCGCCAAUUCACCUCCUUAUGUCCUCCAAAAUAAUAAACAAUCCCCUGCAUUCAAUGAUUAGUUUAAUAAUCUCCCAAUUUCAAGAUAAUACUCGAGUAUAUCGAAACAUUUACCCAAAGCUUCCAUCCUAUCCGACCAAGCCCUUUGCUGGCUCGAAUAGUCCGUUGAACAGAGGGUUUUGAGGCCUAGUUCAGCCGAUGUGGUAAAGUACACACACGGCUUACAGUCAUGCACACUUACAAUAACACUUGAUCAAUUAGCAACUUUCAAGCUCAAACUAAGUCAAGUGCGAUAAAGUACACACCCGACUUAGAAGGCGAUGGACAAUUGACAUAUACUUUACAAUGAAUCACUAGCAAUAUUCCAUAAUAAGCACAUUUAUCAUAUAAUUUCAUUUAAGCAAACAUAAACAGUUAAACACAUAAAUUCGGAAACACUCACCAAAUAUCCAAAUAAAUUACUCUCGAGCCUCGGAUUUGUUUUCUGGCUCAUAGCUAUCCCCUGAGACAAUUUAUAACUCUAAAGUAAAUAUACAAUUCAUAGAUCACCACUUAUCAUUUAUUACCUUUUAUGAUUUAAACUAUUAAAGUCAAGUUUUGGCUUUAAAACAUAAAAUAUAACAUAUUUUAUAUUUAUUUUACAUUUUUUUUCAAAAUUUAUUAAUUUUAUUAUUUCAAACCAAGAAUUAUACAUUUUUCCCAAGUUUGUAUCUUUAUAUAAUAUUUAAAUCAGGAAUAUAUCUUUCUCAAUUCAAUUUUCAUUAAUUAUGGCUUAUAGACACUCCAUUUGUUCCCUUUUAAAUCAACUAAACUCUAAGUUGUUUGUAAAUUAAACUUUUUAUUCCACUACACCAGCCCCUCAAGUUCUAAAGUCUUUAAAAUAUUCAUGAAGACAAUGUUAAGUUAUUGUAGACACCAAAUUUUUAAUUUAGUUUUAUUUACUAUUAUUUUUAUUUUCAUUGAUUAAAUGUUAAUUAUUAUUAUUCAUUUUUAGUCUCUUAGUUUUUAUUUUUAGUAUUUAAAUUUCAGAAUAAGAAAAUUUUCACAAAAAAAGUUGUUUUAAUCAUUUUGGAUUCAAUUUGAAAAAUAUAUAUAAUUUUGUUUCUUUACUUAAAUAAAUUUUUGAAAGAAAAAAUACAAAAAAAAAUAAAAUAAUAAGGAAGAAUGUGUGAAUAGGUGUAAACUUGCAUGUGAGACAAGUGUCCCUUUAUGUAUUUGACAACACACCACCUAGAAGGUGAGGUGUUGAGACACUUGGAGGCCUAAGAUUUGAAGGAAAAGAAAAAACAAAAAGAAAAUAACGAAAAGGGAAGGAGAUGUGGCGGCUAGGGUAGAAAAAAAAGGCAACAAGAAGAAAAAUGGGGGGAUGCUAGAAAAAUGGGGAGCUUCGUCUGAGAGCCAAAAAAAAAAAAGAAUAGAGCAAAAGGAAAAAGAGUGAGAAAAACAGAGAAAAAAAAAGGGCGGCGGACGAGAGGGAAAAGAAGAGGAGUGCAAGAACUGAAGAACAGGGGAAGAGAAGGGGGAACCUGAGAAAUUUGGAAAGGAGCUUCAGAGCUGAAAAAAGAAAAAAAAUAGAGGGAAGGAGGGAGAAUCCGGGAAAGAAAAAGAAAGAAAAAAAAAACAGAGGGGAAGUGAAGGAACAUUAGAAGAACGAGGCGGGUUCAUCAGAAGAGCCACCGGAACCGCCGCCGCUCGCAAGAAGCUGCCACCACCUCACCGGAAUCCAUUGUCAUUGCCUACGGAUUUUCACCGAGCAAGAGGAUUGUAAGCCAUCUUUUUCCCUUUGAAUAUCAGUUUUUUUUCUUCAAGCACAAACGCUGGAAAUCCCAAAGCAUGUCUUUUGUGAAUUUGUUAUUGCAAUUUUCCUGUUGAUUGUCUAUAAUUUUUUGAUCGCACACGCUUUAUGGGUUAAUUGGACUGAAAUCCCUUGUUUUCUGACUAUUUUGGGGCUGAUUGUAACUUCAAUUAAGCAAACAAUAGGUGGAUUUUUUAAUGCCCAUUUGUUGUUCGAUGAAAUGCCUAAUUGAAAGUUUUACUUGAAAGACGGCUCAUCUGCGUUUUGCGUGUGGAAAAAAAUGAACAGAGAGCAAGUUCAAUGUUUGUCAAAACAUAAUAGUUGAUUUUCACGGUAGAAAGGAGAGUUUUUGAUCUUGAUGUGCUUGUGUGUGACACCUUUUCUGUUUUUCUGUUUCUUGUUCUUCCCUUGGUAUGAACUCAAAUUAUGUCGUAAGAUUGCAUGCGAGAGAGUUUGGGUGAGUAUUCAUUUUCUUUUGGAGGGGACCAGAGGAGUUGAAGUGCAACCUGUUGAUGUUUUUAUUCUGCGAGGAAAGGGUAAAUGGCCGCUGAUGUUCUUUUGAUCUUCAAUGGUUUAAUAUUCAUGAUUGGGUUGUGUUAAUCAAGGGGGUUGAAUUUGUUAAAGGGUCUUGUUUGCUUCGAAUUUGUUUCGUGUGGUUCCUGGGGUGAGUUAUAGAAGAAAGAAUGUAGAAGAAAGCUGCAAGAGAGCUUCGAGCAGGAUGCAUGAUAAUUUCUGAAUUUUUUAUUUUAGCCCCCAACUUUUGUCUAAUUGCAGUAUGGCCCAAAUCUUUUGUAAUUGAACCAUUCACGUCCCUAUUGAGUGUUCAUCUUCUCUUCAUAUUUUAAGUGCAUUUCUAAACAUGUUAUUUCUGUGAUUUGGGGUAUAAUUAAAUCUUAAUUUGUUUUAGUGGAUUUAUUAUCUUAUUGGGUUAUUGUAAAAUAGGUAGUUUGGGUUAAAGGUUUGUUUGGUCGGGUUUGGCUAAUGGGUUGUUAGUUUUUUUUUUUUUUUUGGGUUUUUGGCUUGGAUUUAGAAGGUAAAAGCCUACCCUUUUUGUUGGGUUUGUUUGGGGUAAGAUUAUGGUCUGACCCGUGCACUUUCCUUGGAUUUUCGUAAGGCUUGGGGUUUUCGGCCCAAACAAAUAAGAAAAGGGCCCAACAGUCUGUUAAGUCAAGAAGUCUGUGACGAUUUUUCAUUCCAGUCCCCUAAUUUUUGAGUAUUUUCACUACGGCCCUACAAACUUUUGACUUCUUCCACUUAGGUCCCUAAUUUAAUUGCAAAUUGGUCCUUGAACUUUAUCUUUCCUUCUAGUUUGGCCCUAAAGGUUCUAGAAAUCAUGAUUUGGCCCUAAAAACUUUCUGAUAUUUGUGAUUUGGUCCUUGGCAGAUUUAAUUUUGCAACUUCAUUGCUUGUUUGCUUCAAUUAGCCACCAUAUUUUGUUUAAACUGCAUUUAAUUCAUAAUUUUAAGGGCUUUAUGACCAAUUGAGCUUGUGUUUGCAUAUUUUCUUCAGUUUUCUCAAUUAAAGUGAUGCCUUGAUUCUUUCUUUGUUUUUGGAGGGUAAAUAAGUAAUUUCACUUCAUUAGGGUUUCAACUCAAGGGAGGUACACUCUAUCCCUUAUUUUGACUUUAUUUGAUCCUAUGUGCCCUAUGUGACUCUAUGUGCUUAAUUGCUUACCUUUUGAAUGUUUUCAUUUCAUUUAUUUAUUUAUUCGCUUUAUUUGUUUUAAUUUUGUAUACUUAUUUCAAUGUAAUUAUUUGAAAGGCAUUCAAAGGCCAAAGUUGUAAUAGUUAAGGGUUUAUUUAUUUUUAUUUUUCCCCUUUUAGAUUGUAGUAGGGCCCCCCAAUAUAAUAGUUAGGGCUUGUUUGCUUUAUUUGCUUGGUAUGUUUUGCAUGCUUAUGUGUUAUGUAUUAUCCGCUUUUUUAGGGCCUUGCAUCUAGAUAUCAUACUUAUGUGUUAUGUGCUAUACGUGAUUUAUGUGUUUACAUGCUUUUAUUAGGUCUUACAUGAUUUAUUUGAUUAUAACAAAUGCAUGUCGUCACUACACUAGUCCAACACUAGUUGUGACCCCCUUUCCCGAAUCCACACUAGUCCAACGCUAGUUGUGGCUCAUUGUUCUGAUUUUUCACUAGUCCAAUGCUAGUAGGAAUUCAUAGAUAUGAGCUAGUCCAACGCUAGACCCUUAGGAGCCCUUCGAGCGUUAGAUCAUGAUUGUGUGAUAAAAUCAUUUCAUCUCAUGCAUAUUUUUCACUUUCUAAGGUCUUUUAUCAUUUUUUGCAUGUUCCCCUUAUAUAUAUCCCCUAUCCCACAUUCCCUCUUAUAUUCGUAUCCCCUAUUUUUAUUUUUCCUUUAUAUAAAUCCUAUGUAUGAGACAUGACAUUAGAUUUGCAUUUCAUGUAGGGAAAAUUAGAGAUAGGUUAAUACAUUUGUUUGAUUAGAUUAGGAAAAACCCCUUGAGUAUGGGAUGUGGACAAGUUUGAUUUUCUAACCUUAGCACGCUCAUAUUCCCUCUGUUAAAGGGAAAAUUGAGUCACGAACAUUAGUCCCCCGUACCUGACAUGAUGCAUUUCUUUAGGACAUGUAUAUUUGUAUAAUUAUGAUUAUUUUUAUUAUUUUCCUUCCCUUUUCUUAGAGUCUCAUGUUUUUGCAUUAUUCGUGACUUCUUCGAAGAGUCUUUAUUGGGCAUCACAAUUAAUGUGAUUGGUAUCAAGUAAGUUUUGAAAAUAUAUUUCGACCCCUCGACACCCUCUUAGGUUUAGGGUUUGCAUUCAUAUAGUACGUCCAAAUGUGAUAAAUGCUUAGAUUAAAGAUAAGAAAAUCUUUGACUAAAUCACGCAACUAGUUUUGGCUAGGUUGAAAGGGUGUUUUGGAUUUUGUCCUUGCCUUCCCUUUCUUCAAAUGUGACUCCUGAACACGUUUCUUUGAUUUUCGUAAACUUGGAGUCGUUUAAAAAGGAUUUUUAACUUUUUCUUUAAAAAUUCAUUUUUAGGUGACUUGGUACACCUUAACUUUAUACCAAGUGGCGACUCCGAUUUUUAUUCAAAAAUCAUUUUUAAACUAUAAUUUGGGCCUUUCUUCAAAUGUGACUCCCGAACACGUUUCUUUGAUUUUCGUAGACUUGGAGUCGUUUAAAAAGGGUUUUCUACUUUUUCUUUAAAAAUUCAUUUUUGGGUGACUUGGUACACCUUAACUCUAUACCAAGUGGCGACUCCGAUUUUUAUUCAAAAAUCAUUUUUAAACUAUAAUUUGGGCCCAAAUCGUCGCAUUACAAAUCCCAUUUAGGCUCAUUUUCUUUUAAAUCAAAAAUUCAUUUUCCAAUCAAGAAUUGAAUUAAAAUUCAUUUUUUUAAACCAUUUAUUUUUCUUAUUUUUAAAAAAAUGGGAUGCCACAGUUUUUAGCAGCCGUUUGAUGUAUAUAACUACAACAAAUUACUUUGGAGUUUCCAAAACAUCAUGGAAGGCAUAACUAAUUACCAUUUCAGCUAGCAACAAUAUUCCAGCAAUAUUACUUCGGAUUUUCAAAAAAACUCCAUUCUUUUACUUGCUUACAGCUCUAAGCACUAAAUGUACAUUCGGUACAGUUUAAUCCAAGACAAAUAACACCUAGUUUCAACAACUUAUUCGAUCAAAUGUCAUUCUCAAAAUCUGUCAUCAUCAUUUGCAUUAGUCGUUAGCUCUUCCAACAGUAUGGCAGCUUAAAUUUGCAGCCUUUACUCCCUAAUUGCUUCGGUUAACUCUAACUUAUGGUGCCAAACACGUUUGCUAAUCACAGAGCAGUUUUAGCUAUCAUCUGUGCAAGUUUAUGGUGUCAGAAAUUGGAGGAAAUGUUGUUCCAGAAUUUAUUUCCCUCUCUCUCAACAUCACAGCAGGUUGCAUCAGCUUCCUUUUACCAAGUUUAGCUAGACUUCCUGAAAUUUUCUGACUUCCUAAGGCUCCUAUCUGUUCGGUCAAAGGUUUAACAAAUUUUCCAUGUAUUCAUUAAUAAGAGUUCCAGAAUCAGCAACAACAAUUGCACAGCCUGCUUCAUUCCCUCGGCCAACUACCUGCAAUCAGUUAAGUGUAUUUGUCCUGUUAUGUUCAUUCUAGUUUCUACUUGUUUCUUGCUCGUUGAAGUUUAAGGUCUGUGUGAUAUGUUACAACUUACUACACAGGCCUAGAAACUAAGGGUUGCAGGGAACAACUAGAAUCUCUUAUCUGUUCUGCUCAAUCAAAACCAACAGGUUUUGAAAGGUAGUGAUUUUGCAGCUGGUGCUUCCUUUUUUAUUCUCCCUCAGUUUAUAUCCUAGCUAAACUUAUAGAAUGUAUUGAUUUAACUGCAAGUUAUCCUAAGCCAAACAUGACAGUUUAUGGUUAGGAUUCAAAAGGAAACUGGAUUAUGUCUUAGGUCGGCGCAUGGCUGCAAAUUCUGAUGCACAGCAACCUGCAUCAGGUUUCUUUCCUCAGUCGAAGCUCAGUUUCUCUACUCAAACACUACUUGCAGCUUAUUCAUUCAUUCAUUUUUACCGAAUCAGCAUGAGGUUAUUGCAGAUUCUUAACAUUAUCAUCCCAAGAAAUAUUAAGAACAGUUACAAGUUCCAGUUUCUGCAAUUUCGCUUUUCUUGCAGUUUUACAAUUCCUGCACGACAUUUACUUCAGCAAAAAGCUCAAAUUCCUAGCUAAAUUUAACAUGCAGCUAGAGUUUAUCCAAUUAUACCAACUAAGCAGUGAGUUGUUAUAAGAUCUUACCUCUUUCCCCCUAAAGUUCGAUGUUGCAGGGUGCUCAAGUUUCUGUUUCAGCUCCUCAAGUCCUAACACUCGAUUCUCCCGUUUUCCUUACCUUCGUUUGCUUGAUUGUGGUUAGCUGAUGAAGAAGCUAGCCAAAUUGUCCUUCCCUCACACUCUAUUCCACUCCCUCGGUUCUGUUUUGUAGAGAUUGAAAGAAAGAGAGAAAGGAAGAGCUGUCUAGUUUCUUUGCUCUCGGUCACCGCCCAACUAAUGAAUCAGUUUCUAUUUGCUCCACUCAGUCACCGCUUAAACUUAGCAGAUGAUUUCUCUUUGUUUUCUCUCGGGUCUUAUUGAUUAAGAAUGACAAGAUUGUUUCCAUUCGGUGGCUAGUGGCAG
rnacentral:lncRNA from 1 species